GACGAACGCUGGCGGCGUGCUUAACACAUGCAAGUCGAGCGGAAAGGCCACUUCGGUGGUACUCGAGCGGCGAACGGGUGAGUAACACGUGAGCAAUCUGCCCCUGGCUUUGGGAUAGCCACCGGAAACGGUGAUUAAUACCGGAUAUGACCACUUCACGCAUGUGAUGGUGGUGGAAAGUUUUUCGGCCAGGGAUGUGCUCGCGGCCUAUCAGCUUGAUGGUGAGGUAAUGGCUCACCAUGGCUUCGACGGGUAGCCGGCCUGUGAGGGUGACCAGUAACACUGGGAGUGAGACAGGGCCCAGACUCCGACGGGAGGCAGCAGUGGGGAAUAUUGGACAAUGGGCGGAAGCCUGAUCCAGCAACGCCGCGUGAGGGAUGACGGCCUUCGGGUUGUAAACCUCUUUCGCCUGUGACGAAGCGCAAGUGACGGUAACAGGUAAAGAAGCACCGGCCAACUACGUGCCAGCCGCCGCCGUAAAAC
rnacentral:rRNA from 1 species